UGUCUAGGGUUUGCUCGAGCCGUCAAAAAAAAAGAAACAAUAGAUUUUUUUAUCCACCAUCUCCCUUCUCUCUGGCUCUCUUUCUCUCUGACCUUGUGUCUUCUAGCCAUUACCGCCUGUCUCUCCCACUCUCAUCUCGCCGCCGAUGUCCCUAUCUCACUUUCUCGUCUCUCUCUCCUCGCCUAAUCCACUUCUCUCAAGCUCUCCUCGCCGCCAGCUCUCCUCUCUCUCUCACACACCGCCAGAUAUACUUUAUCUCAAGCCACACCACCAUGGCUGGAGGAAGCAAGGCAAUAUAGGACGGAACCCACCAUGAGAGGUGAAGGAUUGAGAAGAAGCUUGAUGUGUAAGGAGACAAGGCCAGCCGUGGUCACUGUGGUGGUGGUGGUCGCUCUGGUGGUGGUACGGCGGAGGAGGGAAGGAGGAGGAAGGAGUCGGCUGCUUUAAUUUUUAGGGUUGAUUUUUUUUUUGAAUUAGGUUUAGUUAAAUUUAGUUAGAUUACACUUCAUUAGGUUUUGUUAAACCGGUUCAAUUAACUAAACCAGUUUGUUAUAAGUUUUUUAGUCUUUUAAUAUAUUCAUGUAGUUAAAUAUGUAUCUGUAUGGAUAUAUACAUACCAGUUUCGUUAUAUAUAUAUUUAUUUAUAUUUUUUA